AUGUGGGUGUAUUUUAUUUCUCUUUCUUUGUGUUAUUCUCUCCUAAAUAUUAUAUAAUAAAAUUAAAAUCAAAGGUUGAAAUUAACAGUGUAGCUAACAGAAUAUAUCUACCAGAAGGGGACUGUCCCCAUUGCGCAUAGUCCCGAUUGAACCCAAACCCGAUUGGAUACACUUUCGAUUGGACACGGACUCGAUUGGACACGGUCCCGAUUGUACACCGUACUGAUCGGACACAGACCCUAUUGGACACAACAGCGAUCGGACAUAUAACGUUUGAAUUGAACACCGAAUCAAUUGCACACGGACCCGAUUGCACGCAAUACGAUUCCGCAUUGCAGAUAGUACAUGAAUUAGCGACAUGGACGGGAUGAAUGCGGGAAAGAGAGCGAAGCUCUGUGUGUGCGUGCGUGCGUGCGUGUGUGUGUGUAUGUGUGUAGAGAAGAGGUGGGCGCAUGAGCAGGUGUGUGACACGCGCUUGCACAAGUAGAUUAAGAUUAGAUAUAAGAUUAUGGUAAAAUAGUAUGUAAGGUUUUUGUAUUGUAAAGGAUUGUAACCCUGAGGAGAAUCAAAACAAAUAAACUAAACUAAACUAAACUAAUUAAACUUCUAUAAUGCAUUUGUUUAUUCUUUCAGAACUUGAUAAAUCUGUGUUUACACUAGGUACAACACCUACCGUUAAAAAUAAAAUACCUGAAGGACAAAUAGAGGCUGCAACUUCAAAACAUGUAUUAAAUUUUGAUAAAGCUGACACAAUAUCUCAGAAAUUGAAUAUCUAUCAAAAAAUGAACGAGUUGAGAGAAAAAUGUUCGAAGUCAGAGCUUCUCAUUAAAACUUUACAGCGUAAACUGGCUGAGCAAAAACGAAAAAAAAGAGAUAAUGUCGAGACGAAUGUGAAGAAAAAAUUGAGCUCUGUAUUUACCUCAGGGCAAAUCAAAAUACUGCUUAAUCCUUCACAGACAAAAAUGCACUGGUCAUCGCAAGACAUAGCAGCUACAAUAUCCUUACGUAAGGCCCGAAGAUCUACGUAUAUUUACAAAAAGUACAAAACAUCUCUCUUCCUGAAAUGUUGACACUUCGGAGAUGAGCAGCAACAUUUGACCUGACUGCGGGUAUUUAAAAAAAUGUUAUGGACAUAAUAAAAGACAAGCUAUGACAGAAGUAGAAAAAAAGACUGUCUUAUGCUUCGACGAAGUGCACCUUAUGGAGUAAAUUACUAUUGAAGAGAGAAGAAAGAACGAUUGGCCCAAAUAAGAAAUGCCAAGUCAUUGUCGCUAAAGGUUUAUUUAAAAAGUGGAAGCAACCGAUAUAUUAUGAAUUUGAUCAAAAUGACAAAAAAAAUUAUUUUGGAUGUAAUCGUAGAAUUAUACCGUAAUGGUUAUUCCGAUGUUGCCCUAACGUGCGAUUUAGGAUCUACAAAUCAGGCUGCCCUAAAAGAUCUUCAAAUUGACCCAGACAAAGAUAAAACGUACUUCCAACAUCCAUCUGACGCAACAAAGAAAGUACACGUCUUUGCUGAUGUACCGCAUCUUAUUAAAUUAUUAAGGAACCAUUUUUUAGAUUCCGGUUUGCGUGUGAAUGGGCAGUUUAUCGAUAAAUCUUGCCUAGAAAGAUUACUAAAAAUCAAUGCAAAGGAUUUGAAAAUCGCUUUCAAAUUAUCACGGAUACAUCUGAAUGUGACAGGAUCACAAAGGCAAAAUGUGAAAUUAGCCACGCAGCUAUUUUCAAAUACCAAUGCGGCGGCAAUUAAAUGGUGUGGUCUUCGUGGCUUUAUAAAGGAUUGUUUGAUGUGACCCGAAACUGCUCGUUUUCUUAACCUAUUAAAUAGAUGGUUUGAUUUUUUUAAUAGUGUUUGCAAAUUUGGAAUCCACGAAGGACUUCACGCUUAUAGCAUAAAUUUGGAAAAACAAAAUGCUAUUUUAAAUAAAGUAACAAAGAUAAUAAAAAAUAUUAGAGUAGGCAAACGAAAGUCUACUGCCCUUUCAAAAAGAUAUUUUAUUAUCAAAUGCUUCGUUAAUGCAACAGUAGAAAGAUCACCAGUCAAAAUGCAGGCAUAACGUAUAUUAUAACCAAUCACAUUAAUCAAGACGUGAUUGAGAAUUUAUUUGCAUUGUGACGUGGCGCGUUCAAUUACGCUCGUCACAAGGGCGUAAAUCCGGCCGACGGGGGUUGAUCUGGGGCUACUCCUUGCCGAGCCAAGGGGGAAACGACUUUAUUGUUUUUUUUACUUUCGCGCUACCGCUUUUUCAUUUUAUGUUAUUAGUUUUAUUUAGAGAUAAGGCGCCAAGUGAGGGCUCAAUCCAAAAAUGUAUCGAGGACGGAAGAAAAACAGCAGUCGAGGGGAUAUCGCGCGAGCUACCGACAGUGGACGGGACACCUUGGAGGAAGUUUCCCAGCCGAGCCGUGCGUCGUCGAGCCCCGCUACGCGUUGCCGUAUCUGACCUACUAGGAUACCGACCCCGCAAAGAUGCAGCGUUACCGUACGACGAUCCUCUAAAAGAAUAACGCCGAAGGCACGCCACCGGGCUGCACCGAGGAAGCGGCCAUAUCACUGCCAAUAGCCCGCCACCAAAAUCGGCUCGGUCGCAGCCUGGCCAGCUCGACCAGCCGAAGCGGCAGCGCACGAGAAAUCUCGCAUUCGAAAAUCGACACGCUCUGAUUCCAGAAAAUUCCGAGGGAUGAAGGGGCGCUAUGAUGGAUCGCAGAUCCUGCAAGGCGGAUGGAUCUACCUACUGGAAAUCGAAGCGCGCACGCGCCUGCACGGGGGCUCGAGCCGGCCGACGUGAGAUCGGCAUUCCUCACUGUUCGGCGAGCCGUGCUUCCAUGCGUAUCGGAGAGGACCUGCCCUGACAGAAUCAUCCCGGUAGACCAGGAUUUUUGUUGUAAGACCAUCACUCGGCAGACCUUCAGGAAUUGCGUAAAAUUUGGUUAAGGCGGUCGACUCUCGUGCGGAUCCGGAUAAAGAAUACCGUUUCUUUCGUGUUACCGGUAAUUCGGAAUCCGCUACUGUUGCUGUUGUUGCAUUUGUGUUUGAGAAACUCGAAAUAAAGAGUAAAGUCUCGUUACCGCACGAAAGAUUGGACCGAUCGGCCCCGAAUAUCGAUUAAUUAAGUACGUCUCUCUCAGACAAAGCCGGCACCGACAGUCACCUUAGUUUAAGAUUAAAGUUUAUUGUUAUCGCGAUUACUGUUUCCGUGGAUUAAUGUACUUGUUGUUCGAGCGGAGAGACUCGUCGGCCUCCCGCCUAGUAUAAUAGAUUUUUGAAAUUUCUGCAUUUUCUCUGUUCUUAGAUUCUUGUCUCCGUUUCAGUCGCAUAAAUCUGUGAAUCGUGUCCCGCUAACUUAAGUAACAUCAAUCAUAUCCGUUUGUUACUGUACUCUUGAAUCUUUCAAAAUAUAUUUUUUCAUCACUGUUACUAAUUUGAACAUUGUGUACCGAUUCUAUUCUGCGACCUGCCUCGAUCCGACACCUUCAAUUACUUAAGAACCCCGUCCCUCUACCGCUUCGGGUAAAAGAGCUACCGUAAUGCUUUUCUUUGGCCACCGAAUUAUCGUGAAUUAUUGUGUGGCGCGGAAAUCCGCGCCUGGCGCCCAAAAUUAUAGUCUUUCAGAGAUACCGUUUUCGUAAACUACCAAUUGCGUUGAGAAAGCGUUACCCGUUAAUAUUCUGAGCUGUUACCGAUUAAUUGGUCGUAGUCCCUUCGGAACUGGUGGUUCCCGAAGGAAAACUACGUCACAGCAUAUAUACGAGCAAUGGGAAGAUGUUCCGACAAUCCAACACCACUGCAGAUUAAAUACAAGCUACGUUAGUACGUGUUGGGAAAGCACACAUCCGAUGUGUUCAUUGGUAGUAUAUAUAAUACCUGUAUGCAAGAUGCUUCAAAUAAAAUAUGUUUAAGUAGCGGUAUCGACUUUGGCAAACAAAGAGAGAGAAGAGAAUAAAGACAACAUCACUAAUAAUUAUGACGAGUUAAUUCUAGAAAAUAUGCAAUAUAGCGAGCAUUCGGAUAGAGAUAUCAAAGAUCAUAAUACUUUUUUGGAAGUUGUAGAUAAAACCCUUGAAAUUGAUAGCUCAGGUUUGCUAAAUAUGUACAGUUGCUCUCAUAAGCAUUAUUGUAACUAAAAAAUUUUGUCAUAUAUUUUUAUUUAUAUAUCUUUAUUUAUAUAUUUUUUUUAUUGAUCAGAUUGAUGUCUGAUCGCACUCCAAAAAUUGUUUGUCAAAAAACUGUUAAAGGCAACUAUAUAUACUGUGACGUGACAGCUGCAGGCUGCUGUCCGUCACAAGGACUUAAGGGCCCUUACGCGUUAACAUCACGCGGGUCCUGCGUCUUCCCGCUCGGAAAUGGACGCGAAAGCGUGAUAAGUCGUGUUUUCUGUGUCGUCUCGUGUGUUGUCUCUUCGCUAAUUGUUAAAAUUCUUACAAGCGCUGCGGCGAGAAUCGGUGACCACAGCGAUCUAUUUUGUAAUUUUUGGACGUCUCGUCUCGACGGAGAACCUUCACGGAAGUCGCAGAAUGAGCGGACAUCGAGGGAGUAACGGAGACCCUUUUCGAGCAGGGGUCCGCAGGUAAUACCGCCCUUAUCUUGCCUACAAUUUGUAUCGUACGAGAAUUCCGAUACUGCCGCCGAAUCACGCUUUCAGGAUCUAGCGAAGACGCGCGAGGCCGGUGUCUCGACGGGACGACUUCAAAUCCGAUCCCGCACAAGUUCCGGCGAAGAUCGCGACAGCUUACAAUUAGUAAACGCCCUCAUCGAGGAGGAGAUAACGUCCCGGUGGCGGAGAAUGCGCCCAGCAAAGAGAAAGGAAUCUGCCGCAGAAGAAAGCGCCAAAAAUUCCCGUGUACGGGGCCCAACAAUAUCGACCAUCGCGCUUGGAUCGAUCAGCAAGCGACGGCGUGCACGUUGCACGUCGCGCGCAAGUCGAUUUUGGAAAAUCGCGGCCAAUAAGGGCCCGGUUUGUCAAAGGCAAGGUGGGGCACGUCGCCGAGCGGCCCCCGUAGGAUCCAGGAUCCCUCACUCGAGUUGCGAACGUUGUCGUGUGUGUGUGCGAUCCGAAUCCCGAGCAAUCCAAGAAUGUAAGAGGACGCAGGAGCCGGAAACAUCCCGAUCCGGACAAGACUUACGAGGAGGAAGCGAUUUAAUGAGACGAGCGUCACUUCAAAUUUGUGAAGCCACCAAUUUCGUGGUCGGGCGAGCUGCGAGAAAAUUACGAGUUUGUCGCGGUAUCUCUUCAGAAUUCCAGUAAAGUCACGAGCACACGUUUAUUAGAGUAUCGUUGCCUCGCCCGAUCGCGCCCGCCUGCGUGGAUUCGCUCCGUGCCAUUCUUUCCGUGAAAUUGCGUUGCGUGUGUGUCCCGAUCCGCAGCCGAGUCACCUGUAUUUUCGUAGCGUGAUCGUAUCGUGAGUUACUGUCGUUAAUUCUAUUGUAGAGCGUCGCGCCUUUAUAUUUUCGUAAACUCUAAUUAACUUUGUCACAUUUGUAUCGCGAAUCACUUUGUAAUGGCGCUCUCGUCAGAUUUAAUGUAAUUGUCUUGUACCUCGUUGGCGAGCUAAUAAUAAUUAUCGCCCACAUUACUUGCGGGAUCUUAUAACGUGCGGAAGACUACGAGUCCGUCGCAUGCCGCGCGGGCUCGGAGCUACUGUUCGUCCCGAUCGCCCUUGGCAAAACCGUUAUCCUAUCGGGAGUUCGGCGUCCACCAACGACGCAGAGUAAAGCGUAGACAAGUCGGAGAAUUCACGCGUACAUAAAAUAACUCGUCCGUUAAUUGUCCCGUAUUCGCGAAAUUUAAUCUCAAGCGGUCAUCAGCUUGCGACGCGCGCAAAGUAACAUUGCCGCUCAACAGAGCCGUAUAAUUCUGUGCUGUUUAUUGUUAAAUAUAUUCGACAAUUUCAUUGUUAAAUUUACGUUGUCUUAAUAGUUCUCUCGCCUUCCCGAUUCCAUCCGCCCGCGCCAAACCUCCCCCUCUACCAUUUUAGGGCUGAGUAGCUGGCUAUCGGAGCCGCCAAGGCCCCGGUCAUCUAAAGAGCACCCGUCUUUUCCGCGAUUAUAUUGGCGUAACGCUGAUUCACUGUUCAACAUAGAAAGAGUGGUACGCUCAAGUACCUGGCGCCCAAGUUCGAGCUUUAACAAAAAUAUCGGAGUUCGGUCGCCCCGACACCCGGGCGACGCAGGGCCGUGGCUAGGAGCGGACGCAAAGUUGGCCGUCGCUCGCGAGCGCGGUUACAGUACAUAUACGGAAAAAUGUCACCUAGCAAAAAAAUUAUGAAAAGUAGUAAAAGAAACUACUACGCACUUCUACAUUCAUUCCAUUAUUUACAUUACAUUUAUUUUAUUCGGGAGUGUCCCAGAUGCACACAGUGUAAAACGGGCACCACUAAUCAGAUUGCUAAGUUAAUUAGGAUGAAUUUUGUUCCGUUGGAACACAGCCAAAACCAAUGUCAUUGAACGGGCGCGAAAUCGCCCGUGAUUUGCCGGUAAACGUGACGGCAGUCAUUCGCGGACAAAUAUUGUCUUCGUAGCGCACCCGAUUUUUCCCGAGCGUCAUCGGCGGCGCUGCCGCAGGGAGACGGGGGUUUGUGGACCGGCCGGCCACGAGCUCUCACUCUCUUCCAGGCCAUCGAUCAAUCGACAGCUUUUCUUUGAGCAUUAGUGAUAGUGAUUCGAGUGCGACGACCAAAUUCAUCUUAAGCAAACGUGCCUGUGCAAACUUAGGCCACGCAACCGCGCUUACGCGUAUAACACGAUAUUCGAGUCAUUUUAUAUACUCUUUACGUGCGGCCGCGUCUGCAGCCGGCCCGCGAGGGAGCUGAGCCUCCCGCUUUGCGUCGCGAUCCUAGUGAUCCAACUUUACGGAAACCGACCUUCCCGCUUUGCGUCGCGAUCCUCGUGGUCCGACUUGCGUAACGAACAUUUCGAUGCGACUUUCACAUAUCUUCGAAUCGACGCUCGCACCUCAGAUUCAUAUUAUCUUUGCCUUGUUUUGUACUGAGCUCAGUGUUGUGAUUCUUUCAAUAAACUUUAAAGGGGGUUUUUGCCGGGCUCGCACUCGCGGGCUCGGAUUUUCCUCCUUGGAUUCGCCCUAAUUGCAGUGUUUAAUUUAAAAUAAAAUAGAUUCCCAUAAUAGUAUAUCAUCAAACUAUCUCGCUUAUCAAAAAAGAUUCGAAAAGCGGGAAUACGAUCACGCGCGGUCGUAGAAAUUUAAAGAAUUUGAUUAGUGAUGUCCGUUUUACACUGUGCGCGUCUGGGACUCACUGUUUUAUUCCUACAAGUAAACAAAUUAUACAAAAUAAUUUAUUUACUGCAUUAUAGAAGUUUACCAGCAAGUGACACAAAUUGACACAGCAGUAUUUCUGUCUUUGUUUGAUAUUCAGUGAGAGAUAAGGACAAAAUUACUGCUGUGUCAGUUUAUGUCUCUUGCUCGAAAACUCCCUAUAUUAUUUUCCCUUUCACAUAGAUACAAAUAUUAAUAUACAAUAUUCCCCGACUAAAGUUCAGUUGAACCUUUUUGAUCAAAUAAAAGAAUUGCAUGUGGUUGAGAUAAUAAAAGAAGAAAGCCUCGAAUAUAUCGCAGGUUAUGCAGCUUUUCGAUUCCAGAGUGAAUUUCCAUGUUUAGGAACACCAACAGAAUUAUUGAUAGAUCCAGAUGAUGACUAUAUUAAUUAUAUUUCAAGGGGUAGAAUAAUCAAUUCUUUGUACGGAAUUAUUUGAAACCGCCAAAAUAAUGGAAAAAUUAUUUCAAGACUAUCACGGGUCUUCUAUUUCUAAGGAGCCAUCGAUAUUUAAAACAUUAGCAUCAAAAAUAAUCGCAAUACAAGACAAAAACUGCUUAGCAAUACCUAUGAAUGUCUUAUUAUGUUUAAUACACACGAGAAUAUAUAUUCGUGUUCGAAAAUUGCACAAAAAAAUAAAAACUAAUGCUUAUAAAAAACAAAAAGCAAAAAACUAAGGAAAAUUACUAACAUUAAAAAGUAAAUACGAAUAAUUAAUAUUAUAAUGAUGUCGGCUUGUAACAAUAUAAAAAUAACUAAAAAUACGUUUGCACAAUUUACAAUAUUGACGAUGUGAACAGAAAUAAAUGACGUGAGUUUUGUUAUAACGUUAUGAAAAAGUUAGUCUCUUCAUUCGUAUCCCGACUUUUCACAUUCGAUUGUAAUUAGUCGAUUUCUUACGAUUUAAAGCUUACUACACCUAUUAUAGAACCGACCUAUCCCUGUAACUAAAUAGUCAAAGAUUAGAAUAGGUUAGUUUCACUGGAAAAGUCUAAGAACAUUAUUCUAAUUUACGCAAGUAAGUAAAUGUAACUUAAAUUUAUCUUAUAAAAUUUAACAUUACAAUAUUUGGUAACUUCAUGGUUUUUUUACAGAAUGGAAACCGAUUCGGAUGACAUUGAAAAUGUUUUGCCAAAUGCACCGCCCAAAAAAAAGAUCGCACAAAUACUCGGCGUGCUAAAAAAUUCCGUGAUAUUUGGCUAGACUAAGGAGAUUUCAAAAAAUGGCUUAUUCGACACAUACAAAGCCAAAUGUACUAUAUGUGCAGUUAGUUUCACAGCAGAAAUUGCUGUAAUUCGUAAUCAUUCUAAAUCUCGUGCGCAUUUAUCUAAUAUCAAAUCAGGUUCCCAUCAGCGAUCUAUAAAAAGCUUUAUAGAGGAAGCUCAAACUAAAAGUUCAAUCACUACAUCUAUAAAGAAAACAGAAAUUAAGCUUUGUGGUUUCAUGGUUAAUCACAAUAUUCCAUUUCAAGUUAUUAACCAUUUAUCAGAUUUGUUAAAAGUUUCCUAAAUUCAGAAAUCUUAAAUAACAUGCAAUUAAAAGCAACCAAAACUACUAAUAUGAUAAGAAAUGUUAUUGGAAAAACACAAAAAAAUAGGUUAAAUAAGAUUUUACAAAAAACUAAGUUCAGCAUCCUUAUUGACGAAUCAACUGACAUUUCCGCCAUCAAAACAAUGUGCAUUGUAGUCAGGUAUGUUAGACAUCAAUAUAUAGUAAUUUAUACAUAUUUAUAAUUAUUAUAUUUUGUAUAUAAUAAUUAUAAAUAUGUAUAAAUUGUGUAUAUAUUUCAUAUUUUAUGGGGGGCGUCUACAUUAGAAAGCCAAAAUUAAGCACUUUUUUAUGAUUUUUUUCAAAUGAAACUAAGCAAUGGAUCUUUUUGCGAUUUUUAUCACUUAUUGUGCAUGUCUUUAGGUACUCAAAACAAUUUUUAUUAUAAAAUUUUAUUUAUUUAAUUAUAAAUUGUAAACAAAAAUGCACAACUGCCUUAAAAAAUUCCUUCCACACUGCGUGCAGGAUAACACUCAGUAGAAUGAACUGUAAGGAAAAAACCAAAGUUUUUGUAAAGUUUAUGAGUAUAGCUUCUGCUGUGAGUGAGACAGAAUCACUCCAACUAUAUAUUAUUAUAUUAGAUUAAAUUCAAAUAUUAAAAUAAUUAUAUUAAUAAAAGAGUGUCUUAAACGCUCUCAGAGAAAGUGUUAUCUCGUAUUAUCGCGCGAGGUAUCAAGUGACACCUCGCGCAAGGCCAACCCCGGCCAUCACACCAGUCAACGCACCGGUCAAGACUCGAAAUUCUACCGAUCUCAGCUUAGCAACGAUCACGUCACAUUUCCUGUGGAAAUGCUAAAAUUGCAAUUUGGCGGUCUGUUGCCAAGUCUGCGAAUAUUUCCCGCGCGCUGGAUGCGCGCGGCCAUUAUCGUAUCGAGGGCCUAUUGCCUCUCCAACUGACACUUUCCGUGAACUAUAUAAACGACUGUCGAUUGAUGGGUAGCGGGGAUCAAUUAUUAAUUAUUCACGCUAAUACGCGUGUCACGUGUGUUCUUACUACUCCGGGUCACACAGACCUCAGUACGUAAAGACUCAAUUAUACUUAUACUACAUAGCGACGAAGCGUCAGGCGAGCUAUCAAGUUCUCGCCAAGUCUUAUCGUCACACACAUUCAAUACGACGCGGCAUCACCGACGACCGCACGCGUUGAGAGCCAAUCUGUACAUUAUACAGAAUAAACAACGCUUUUUAUAUAAAAACGAGAGUGUCGUUACUUGUGGACCUGGCCCUCGCAAUACUUCCUCCGCGAGUUCCAACUCCUUGGGCAGACACAAUCCCGAAAUUAUCCUUGUUGCACCAAAAGGUACAACACUUCUAAAUGAACCUAAGAAAGCCAUACAUUAUAAAAAAAUUUAUAAAAUGGCGCUUUGAAAAAAAAAA